rnacentral:rRNA from 1 species
GAUGAAUGCUGGCGGCGUGCCUAACACAUGCAAGUCGAGCGGUAACAGGAGUAGUUUACUACUUGCUGACGAGCGGCGGACGGCUGAGUAACGCGUGGGAACGUGCCCCAAAGUGCGGAAUAACUGCCCGAAAGGGUAGCUAAUACCGCAUAUGAUCUUCGGAUUAAAGGAUUUAUCCGCUUUGGGAGCGGCCCGCGUACGAUUAGGUAGUUGGUAGGGUAAUGGCCUACCAAGCCGACGAUCGUUAACUGGUCUUAGAGGAUGAUCAGUCAGACUGGAACUGAGACACGGUCCAGACUCCUACGGGAGGCAGCAGUGUGGAAUCUUCCACAAUGGGCGAAAGCCUGAUGGAGCAACGCCGCGUGCAGGAUGAAGGCCUUCGGGUUGUAAACUGCUUUUAUAAGUGAAGAAUAUGACGGUAACUUAUGAAUAAGCACCGGCUAACUACGUGCCAGCAGCCGCGGUA